rnacentral:rRNA from 1 species
GGGUUGUGAGGUUAAGCGACUAAGCGUACACGGUGGAUGCCCUGGCAGUCAGAGGCGAUGAAGGACGUGCUAAUCUGCGAUAAGCGUCGGUAAGGUGAUAUGAACCGUUAUAACCGGCGAUUUCCGAAUGGGGAAACCCAGUGUGUUUCGACACACUAUCAUUAACUGAAUCCAUAGGUUAAUGAGGCGAACCGGGGAACUGAAACAUCUAAGUACCCGAGGAAAAGAAAUCAACCGAGAUUCCCCCAGUAGCGGCGAGCGAACGGGGAGGAGCCCAGAGCCUGAAUCAGUGUGUGUGUUAGUGGAAGCGUCUGGAAAGGCGCGCGAUACAGGGUGACAGCCCCGUACACAAAAAUGCACAUGCUGUGAGCUCGAUGAGUAGGGCGGGACACGUGGUAUCCUGUCUGAAUAUGGGGGGACCAUCCUCCAAGGCUAAAUACUCCUGACUGACCGAUAGUGAACCAGUACCGUGAGGGAAAGGCGAAAAGAACCCCGGCGAGGGGAGUGAAAAAGAACCUGAAACCGUGUACGUACAAGCAGUGGGAGCACAGAGCAAUCUGUGUGACUGCGUACCUUUUGUAUAAUGGGUCAGCGACUUAUAUUCUGUAGCAAGGUUAACCGAAUAGGGGAGCCGAAGGGAAACCGAGUCUUAACUGGGCGUUAAGUUGCAGGGUAUAGACCCGAAACCCGGUGAUCUAGCCAUGGGCAGGUUGAAGGUUGGGUAACACUAACUGGAGGACCGAACCGACUAAUGUUGAAAAAUUAGCGGAUGACUUGUGGCUGGGGGUGAAAGGCCAAUCAAACCGGGAGAUAGCUGGUUCUCCCCGAAAGCUAUUUAGGUAGCGCCUCGUGAAUUCAUCUCCGGGGGUAGAGCACUGUUUCGGCAAGGGGGUCAUCCCGACUUACCAACCCGAUGCAAACUGCGAAUACCGGAGAAUGUUAUCACGGGAGACACACGGCGGGUGCUAACGUCCGUCGUGAAGAGGGAAACAACCCAGACCGCCAGCUAAGGUCCCAAAGUCAUGGUUAAGUGGGAAACGAUGUGGGAAGGCCCAGACAGCCAGGAUGUUGGCUUAGAAGCAGCCAUCAUUUAAAGAAAGCGUAAUAGCUCACUGGUCGAGUCGGCCUGCGCGGAAGAUGUAACGGGGCUAAACCAUGCACCGAAGCUGCGGCAGCGACACUGUGUGUUGUUGGGUAGGGGAGCGUUCUGUAAGCCUGUGAAGGUGUGCUGUGAGGCAUGCUGGAGGUAUCAGAAGUGCGAAUGCUGACAUAAGUAACGAUAAAGCGGGUGAAAAGCCCGCUCGCCGGAAGACCAAGGGUUCCUGUCCAACGUUAAUCGGGGCAGGGUGAGUCGACCCCUAAGGCGAGGCCGAAAGGCGUAGUCGAUGGGAAACAGGUUAAUAUUCCUGUACUUGGUGUUACUGCGAAGGGGGGACGGAGAAGGCUAUGUUGGCCGGGCGACGGUUGUCCCGGUUUAAGCGUGUAGGCUGGUUUUCCAGGCAAAUCCGGAAAAUCAAGGCUGAGGCGUGAUGACGAGGCACUACGGUGCUGAAGCAACAAAUGCCCUGCUUCCAGGAAAAGCCUCUAAGCAUCAGGUAACAUCAAAUCGUACCCCAAACCGACACAGGUGGUCAGGUAGAGAAUACCAAGGCGCUUGAGAGAACUCGGGUGAAGGAACUAGGCAAAAUGGUGCCGUAACUUCGGGAGAAGGCACGCUGAUAUGUAGGUGAAGUCCCUCGCGGAUGGAGCUGAAAUCAGUCGAAGAUACCAGCUGGCUGCAACUGUUUAUUAAAAACACAGCACUGUGCAAACACGAAAGUGGACGUAUACGGUGUGACGCCUGCCCGGUGCCGGAAGGUUAAUUGAUGGGGUCAGCGCAAGCGAAGCUCUUGAUCGAAGCCCCGGUAAACGGCGGCCGUAACUAUAACGGUCCUAAGGUAGCGAAAUUCCUUGUCGGGUAAGUUCCGACCUGCACGAAUGGCGUAAUGAUGGCCAGGCUGUCUCCACCCGAGACUCAGUGAAAUUGAACUCGCUGUGAAGAUGCAGUGUACCCGCGGCAAGACGGAAAGACCCCGUGAACCUUUACUAUAGCUUGACACUGAACAUUGAGCCUUGAUGUGUAGGAUAGGUGGGAGGCUUUGAAGUGUGGACGCCAGUCUGCAUGGAGCCGACCUUGAAAUACCACCCUUUAAUGUUUGAUGUUCUAACGUGGACCCGUGAUCCGGGUUGCGGACAGUGUCUGGUGGGUAGUUUGACUGGGGCGGUCUCCUCCUAAAGAGUAACGGAGGAGCACGAAGGUUGGCUAAUCCUGGUCGGACAUCAGGAGGUUAGUGCAAUGGCAUAAGCCAGCUUGACUGCGAGCGUGACGGCGCGAGCAGGUGCGAAAGCAGGUCAUAGUGAUCCGGUGGUUCUGAAUGGAAGGGCCAUCGCUCAACGGAUAAAAGGUACUCCGGGGAUAACAGGCUGAUACCGCCCAAGAGUUCAUAUCGACGGCGGUGUUUGGCACCUCGAUGUCGGCUCAUCACAUCCUGGGGCUGAAGUAGGUCCCAAGGGUAUGGCUGUUCGCCAUUUAAAGUGGUACGCGAGCUGGGUUUAGAACGUCGUGAGACAGUUCGGUCCCUAUCUGCCGUGGGCGCUGGAGAACUGAGGGGGGCUGCUCCUAGUACGAGAGGACCGGAGUGGACGCAUCACUGGUGUUCGGGUUGUCAUGCCAAUGGCACUGCCCGGUAGCUAAAUGCGGAAGAGAUAAGUGCUGAAAGCAUCUAAGCACGAAACUUGCCCCGAGAUGAGUUCUCCCUGACCCUUUAAGGGUCCUGAAGGAACGUUGAAGACGACGACGUUGAUAGGCCGGGUGUGUAAGCGCAGCGAUGCGUUGAGCUAACCGGUACUAAUGAACCGUGAGGCUUAACCUUACAACGCCGAAGGUGUUU